UCCCCUGGGAUACGAUACUUGGUCUUACCAUUUUAUAUUACUUGUGCGAUUCGGUACACUUGCCAAUCUAGCAAACAUAGAGCUAUGAUGGGUUGUGCACUUGUGGUGGUCUCCACUUCUUUGCAAAGAAUUGCUAAUGGGUUUUAUCCUACCACACUCACAAGGUUAGUUUGUACAGUUUCUUAGGCCAUACUGGAAGCAUCUAUACUAUAAGACCACCUACUAUUCUCACCAAAAGUAUCAAUCCUCUCUACUUGAGAGUGGAUGA
rnacentral:lncRNA from 1 species